GCCCUGCUGGCGCAAUGGUAGCGCGCCAGACUUCUAAUCUGGAGGCUGUGGGUUCGAGCCCCACGUGGGGUG